rnacentral:lncRNA from 1 species
AGAGAGAGGAAAGGAGGGAGGGAGGAGGGGACAGAAGGGAGCAGGGGGGAGAGAAAGACAGCCUUGAAGCCAAGAUUUAUUGAGAAUACCUUCCAUUAUUGUAAAGAUGCCCUUACAAACCGAGGCUUGGCCAGCUCAGCCUAAACUUUCCAAAUGCAAAGGUCCUGCAAAGGCGGGAGUCAACCCCUCCUACGGAGGCGGCGGAAACCUCUCUGACUGAGGGGAGGGGAGGGAAGAAAAGGACGCGAGUUGGAUGCUCUGAGGGUCCGUGAGCUGCAAGAGGCUCCAGAGAACUCCCCGAAGAUCGUGCUCCUUCGGCACAGCCAGGGCGCGCGGGAAGCCUCCCAGAGGCGCCCCGUUCAGCAGAGCGCCGCAUCCGCAAGAGCCGAGGAAACGGCUGAAAGGCGCUGCGGUGGGGCCUGCGCCCUGGGGAACGGCGGCGAGAAGGCACCCCGGGAAACGCUGACUAGCUUAGAAGGUCUUUCAGUUUGUGCUGUGAUGGGUAGCAUUAAACUACAGACGAGAAAUGCAGUGGACACUUUGUGAGCACCGUUAGUGCCGUCAGCUUUCGCAGUCCACCAUCCCUCAAGGAUUCCUCCUGUCUUCUCUUGACUACUGCAGAAUCACCAUGUCUAUCCAUAUGUGGUCCAGUGCAGCAGGCAACUACAGGAACUAAAGGAGCAAAACACUGAUGCAGAACAACAGCACCUCCUAAUAUGUGUGUUUUACUGGUGAAAUCACAGAAGUUCUUUGAGCGCCUGUCAUGUGCUGGUGCUGAGUGGGAAUGCUUCUUCCCUCCUCCUGACUCCUUCCGAAUUGGGGGAGCUCAACUAGUGUAACACCCUUGGCAUCUCUCCUCUGCUGACUCAUGCCUGAGGGGAGGUGGGGCGACACAGCUGAGCUCAGACACCUUCUCUGGCCCUUUCUUUAGGAGAAGAUGCCCAGGAUGUGGGAAUUCUCCUUUGCUUUCCCUUGACCCAAGUCUUACCUUGUCAGUUCUUCAGGUGAGGACGCCUGUCCCAGUUGCACAUUGCUUGCGACUGGAGGGGUGGGUCAACUGAACUCUUGGGAUCAGAUUUAGGAAACCCACCUGACUCACAAUAACUUACACCCUCAACGCGGUGUUUUUUCUAAUAAAGAUGGCAUUCUGGCUUCCCA